GGAAUUCCAUUGGAGAACAAGUUGUGUACCUGGUCCAUAUUCAAGCCUUAUGGAAUGGAUUACUGCACAAGACAAUCCAGAGAAUUCUGGGAAAGUCUAAAUCAGAUUUAAAUCAAUAAUUCUACACUGUUGGAUCACAAAUCAAUCAAGGGCUAGGAGGAUAGCUAGGGUUUCGCCAAGACACUAUAUAAAGGAGCAGAGAGAAACGUUUCUUCAUCUCUUCUUCGCACAGUAAUCGGCAUUUUCGCACGAUCUUACGAGAUUGCGAACAUAUCAACGUUCUCGGAAUCUGCCGAAACCAAAUUCUUGGCUCCUUUUGGGACCUCCAUACACCCACAACAUUGAUCUUUCAACUUUUUUUGAGAAAAUUUGACGUGUUAUUUUUUCGCACGAUCUUAGAGAUUGCGAACAUAUCAACGUUCUCGGAAUCUGCCGAUACCAAAUUCUUGGCUCUUUUUGGGACCUCCAUACACCCACAACAUUGAUCUUUCAACUUUUUUUGAGAAAAUUUGAGGUGUUAUUUUGGCAUUUUCGCACGAUCUUACGAGAUUGCGAACAUAUCAACGUUCUCGGAAUCUGCCGAAACCAAAUUCUUGGCUCUUUGUGGGACCUCCAUACACCCACAACAUUGAUCUUUCAACUUUUUUUGAGAAAAUUUGAGGUGUUAUUUUGGCAUUUUCGCACGAUCUUACGAGAUUGCGAACAUAUCAACGUUCUCGGAAUCUGCCGAAACCAAAUUCUUGGCUCUUUUUGGGACCUCCAUACACCCACAACAUUGAUCUUUCAACUUUUUUUGAGAAAAUUUGACGUGUUAUUUUGGCAUUUUCGCACGAUCUUACGAGAUUACGAUCAUAUCAACGUUCUCGGAAUCUGCCGAAACCAAAUUCUUGGCUCUUUUUGGGACCUCCAUACACCCACAACAAUGAUCUUUCAACUUUUUUUGAGAAAAUUAGACGUGUUAUUUUUUCGCACGAUCUUACGAGAUUGCGAACAUAUCAACGUUCUCGGAAUCUGCCGAAACCAAAUUCUUGGCUCUUUUUGGGUACCUCCAUACACCCACAACAUUGAUCUUUCAACUUUUUUUGUAGAAAAUUU
rnacentral:lncRNA from 1 species